rnacentral:rRNA from 1 species
ACGGUACUUUUGGUGCUUGCACCGAAAGUACGAGUGGCGAACGGGUGCGUAACGCGUAUGCAAUCUGCCUUUUACUAGGGUAUAGCCCAGAGAAAUUGGAUUAAUCCCCUAUAAUAUCGUUUAAUCGCAUGAUUUUAUGAUUAAAGCUUCGGCGGUAAAAGAAGAGCAUGCGUCCUAUUAGUUAGUAGGUGAGGUAACGGCUCACCUAGACUCCGAUAGGUAGGGGUCCUGAAAGGGAGAUCCCCCACACUGGUACUGAGACACGGACCAGACUCCUACGGGAGGCAGCAGUGAGGAAUAUUGUGCAAUGAACGAAAGUUUGACACAGCGACACCGCGUGUGGGAUGACGGAUCUACGUUUGUAAACCACUUUCAGGAGGGAAGAAAAUGACGGUACCUCCACAAGAAGCCCCGGCCAACUACGUGCCAGCAGCCGCGGUAAUACGUAGGAUCCAAGCGUUAUCCGGAAUUAUUGGGUUUAAAGGGUCCGCAGGCUGUUUGUUAAGUCAGAGGUGAAAUCCUACCGAUCAACGGGUAGAACUGCCUUUGAUACUGGCAAACUUGAGUUAUGGUGAAGUAGUUAGAAUGUGUAGUGUAGCGGUGAAAUGCAUAGAUAUUACACAGAAAUACCGAUUGCAAGAGCAGAUUCCUAACAAUAUACUGACGCUGAGGGCGACCGCGUGGUUGCGACAGGAUAGAUACCUGGUAUCCAGCGGAACGAUGGUCAUAGUGUCGACGUCAUGG